GUGUCAGCCGCCGCGGUAAUACGGAGGGUGCAAGCGUUGCUCGGAAUUACUGGGCGUAAAGCGCGUGUAGGCGGUUUCGUGUGUCUGAUGUGAAAUCCCCGGGCUCAACCCGGGAAGUGCAUUGGAAACUGCGAGACUAGAGUCCCGGAGAGGAAGGUGGAAUUCCAGGUGUAGCGGUGAAAUGCGUAGAUAUCUGGAAGAACACCGGUGGCGAAGGCGGCCUUCUGGACGGUGACUGACGCUGAGACGCGAAAGCGUGGGGAGCAAACAGGAUUAGAAACCCCUGUAGUCC
rnacentral:rRNA from 1 species